rnacentral:tRNA from 1 species
UUAGGAAACGAUUCCGAAUUGAACCGAGAAUCUAUUAUUCAUUGAUAAAAAAAGUGUCACUCCACAGUUUGAUAGAUCUUUUAACGAACUGAGAUUAAUCGGACGAGAAUAA